UACAGAGGUCUCAAGCGUUGUUCGGAUUCAUUGGGCGUAAAGGGUGUGUAGGUGGCGCGCUAAGUCGGGUGUGAAAUUUCGGAGCUUAACUCCGAAACUGCAUUCGAUACUGGCGUGCUUGAGGACUGGAGAGGAGACUGGAAUUUACGGUGUAGCAGUGAGAUGCGUAGAUAUCGUGAGGAAGACCAGUGGCGAAGGCGGGUCUCUGGACAGUUCCUGACACUGAGACACGAAGGCCAGGGGAGCAAACGGG
rnacentral:rRNA from 1 species